CAGGGAAUCUUGGACAAUGGGCGCAAGCCUGAUCCAGCCAUGCCGCGUGUGUGAAGAAGGCCCUAGGGUUGUAAAGCACUUUCAGUGGUGAAGAAACGCUAGAGGUUAAUACCCUCGAGUACUGACGUUAACCACAGAAGAAGCACCGGCUAACUCCGUGCCAGCAGCCGCGGUAAUACGGAGGGUGCGAACGUUAAUCGGAAUUACUGGGCGUAAAGCGCACGUAGGCGGUUUGUUAAGUGGGAUGUGAAAGCCCCGGGCUCAACCUGGGAAUUGCAUUCCAAACUGGCAGGCUAGAGUGCAGUAGAGGGAGGUAGAAUUUCCUGUGUAGCGGUGAAAUGCGUAGAUAUAGGAAGGAAUACCAGUGGCGAAGGCGGCCUCCUGGACUGACACUGACGCUGAGGUGCGAAAGCGUGGGGAGCAAACAGGAUUAGAUACCCCCGUAGUCC
rnacentral:rRNA from 1 species